rnacentral:lncRNA from 1 species
GGUAAACGUUGUCCUAUUGAUCUGAAAUUUUACAUACAUGUUUUUGGCACUGUGAUUGAAUAUAAAAAAAUUAUUCCCGCAAAAAAAUCAGUCAAAAAAGUCAAAAAAAUCAAAAAAUACGAAAUUCAAUAAAAAUUUAAAAAAAGAUUCAGCGGGUUGAAUUUGGUGCCCAAAAUUUCCAGAUCGAAAAUUCAAUAUAUAAGGACACUCCAGAUUUAAUUUUGUGAUUUUUGGAGAUCGGGAACACCUCGAACGAAGUUGUCAAGUUACUCCGCAGUUUUUCGGGUUUUCUGUUUUCAGCAAUUUUUAUUGAUUCUUAGCUGUAGGUUUUCAUUUGUUUGCUUUUUA